UAAUUUGGACUCAGAAAUAACGUUGGUAGUAUAUUAAUUUUCUGUUGUUAUAAUGUUAUCGUUUUAUAUUGUGCGCAACGCUCAUCGCGACAGCCAUGAUGUACAUGAUUAUCCUACAUACGAUGCGUGAGUGCGUAUACACGUGUGUCAAUCGAGGAGUGCGGAGUGCUCUUUAUUUACAGCAUAUUUAUAUAUAAGUAGGCAAUGAAUAUGUCUUAACAUAUGGGAUCAAUUGUUGUAUCAAAUUCAAAAAACCACCAUUUGAAAAAUUUGACCCUGGCUAAGAUAACCAUCAGUGAACAAUAUAUUAUAAGGAAAAACUCUGUACAAGAUACUAGAAAUGCUAAAAGAUGACCAAGAAGCUUUUACACAAGUCAGGCUAUUAGACAACAAUCCCUUGUAAUACAGAGAAAGACUUGGAACACUCUAUAAUGGAAUAGCUUAGAUUUGCAAACAUCCGUAAACAAAGGAAAAAAUCUUAAAAGCAACUGUUUGGUAAAGAUCCGGAAAGAUUAAUAAUCUGUUUAAAAGGAAA